rnacentral:rRNA from 2 species
AGUGAAGCGGGAUGAAGCUCAAAUUUAAAAUCUGGCUGGUUUACUAGUCCGAAUUGUAGUUUAAAGAAGCGUUUUCGGUGGCAGCCUGGGUAUAAAUCCUUUGGAAUAGGGUAUCAUAGAGGGUGAGAAUCCCGUCUUUGACUCAGUGCAUGCUACUAUGUGAUACGUUUUCAAAGAGUCGAGUUGUUUGGGAAUGCAGCUCAAAAUGGGUGGUAAAUUUCAUCUAAAGCUAAAUAUUGGCGAGAGACCGAUAGCGAACAAGUACCGUGAGGGAAAGAUGAAAAGAACUUUGAAAAGAGAGUUAAAUAGUGCGUGAAAUUGUUGAAAGGGAAACGUUUGACACCAGUCAUGCGGGUGGAAAAUCAGUCUUUUGGGGUGGGGAGUGGUGGAAGUUCAGACCGUAAGGCUGGCUUUUGUUUCAUCUCUGCACUAAAGGAUGCACUUUUUCAUCUGCAGGUCAACAUCAGUUUCUUCUGCUGGACAAAACUCCGAGAGAAGGUAGCAGCUUUGGCUGUGUUAUAGCUCUGGAGCGAUACAGUGGAGGGGACUGAGGUUUUCGCAGUGUGUGCUCUCGGGCAAGGUCGACUGGGUGCUAUGUGAUCGUUCGGUGUACAAUGCAUGCAUUUUGCGCUGUGUCUUUUACAUACUCGCCUGAAUCGACUCUUCCACGCUUAGGAUGUUGACUUAAUGGUUUUAAACGACC